GCGGUGGUGGUUCAGUGGUAGAAUUCUCGCUUUCCCUGUGGCAGACCUGGGUUUGAUUCCCAGUCAAUGCA
rnacentral:tRNA from 1 species